rnacentral:rRNA from 1 species
AGUGAACGCUGGCGGCGUGCUUAACACAUGCAAGUCGAACGAGAACGGGUUAUAGCUUGCUAUAAUUGUCAGCUAGGUGGCGCACGGGUGAGUAAUGUGUAGGUAAUAUGCCUCUUACUAAGGGAUAACAAUUGGAAACGAUUGCUAAUACCUUAUACUCCUUAUUAACUAAAGUUAGUAAGGGAAAGAUUUAUUGGUAAGAGAUUAGCCUGUAUUGUAUCAGUUAGUUGGUGGGGUAAUGGCCUACCAAGACUAUGACGCAUAACUGGUUUAAGAGGAUGAUCAGUCACACUGGAACUGAGACACGGUCCAGACUCCUACGGGAGGCAGCAGUGGGGAAUAUUGCACAAUGGACGAAAGUCUGAUGCAGCAACGCCGCGUGGAGGAUGACACAUUUCGGUGCGUAAACUCCUUUUAUAUAAGAAGAUAAUGACGGUAUUAUAUGAAUAAGCACCGGCUAACUCCGUGCCAGCAGCCGCGGUAA